UGUUAUUUAGUUGUAUUUGUUGUACAUGUUAUUUAGUUGUAUUUGUUGUAUGUCUUAUUUAGUUGUAUUUUGUUGUAUAUGUUAUUUAGUUGUAUUUGUUGUAUUAUUUAGUUGUAUUUUGUUGUAUAUGUUAUUUAGUUGUAUUUGUUGUACAUCUUAUUUACUGUGAAAGUACUUUAAUUCGUGGAUAUUAAUUUUCGUGGUUUAAGCAAUUUUUACAUGUUCGUGGGUUUUUAAAUUCGUGGAUUUCAGUUUUCUAAAAAAAAAUUAAUUAAAGCCUUAUGAACAAAGGUUACAAAUAGUCUGGAUUGAAGGAAAUUGCAAAGAAAACAUUGACCCAUGUAAAUCGUAGUGAAAACACUUAUUAACCCAAGAUAAAGUUAUCAACAGAUUAAGGACCAUCAAAGGUGUUAAUUAGGCCAUAAACAUGUCACCUAAAUAAAUCAGUAUCAUAAACAAAUGCUAUAAACGUAUCUUGAAUUGUCAAAUAAUUCUUAUCAAAAUCAAGCCCAGCAUUAAACUAUUAUUUCUCAUGUGUACGAGAACUAUGAGGAUAUAAAAUGAACACUUUAUCAUACUAACAUAUCAAUAUCGGAAAUCUGACUUUCAUCGGAAAAAAAUAUUUUUAUGAGAAUUAAAAGAUCAAAAGUUAUGUUCUGUGACUGCUAUUAAAGUAUUCUCUGAUUCGAGGUUAUGCAAUAUAUUCUCUAGACCAUAUCAGUAGUCAAACCUUCAUGGGGAUCUUUCCAUGUCUUCAUUUGGACAAUGGUUGUUUUAUUUCGUUGGACACUUAAAUUCGUGGAUAAAGUCAUCCACGAAAACCACGAAAAUUGGUACCACACGAAUAAAAGUACUUUCACAGUAGUUGUAUUUGUUGUAUAUGUUAUUUAGUUGUAUUUGUUGUAUAUCUUAUUAGUUGUAUUUUGUUUGUUAUAUCUUAGUUGUAUUAUUUUGUAUUUUGUUGUAUAUUUAGUUGUUUUGUAUUAUAUGUGUAAUAUGUUAUUUAUUUAGUUGUAUUUGUUGUAUAUGUUAUUUAGUUGUAUUUGUUGUAUAUGUUAUUUAGUUGUAUUUGUUGUAUAGCUUAUUUAGUUGUAUUUGUUGUAUAUGUUAUUUAGUUGUAUUUGUUGUAUAUGUUAUUUAGUUGUAUUUGUUGUAUAUCUUAUUUAGUUGUAUUUGUUGUAUAUGUUAUUUAGUUGUAUUUGUUGUAUAGCUUAUUUAGUUGUAUUUGUUGUAUAUCUUAUUUAGUUGUAUUUGUUGUAUGUUAUUUAGUUGUAUUUGUUGUUGUAUAUCUUAUUUAGUUGUAUUUGUUGU
rnacentral:lncRNA from 1 species